GUUAGAAUGACUGAUAAAGGUGGUAAAUUGUAAAUUUACUUAUGGAUAAAAAAUAUUCUUCUAUCA
rnacentral:tRNA from 1 species